GAUGAACGCUAGCGGCAGGCCUAACACAUGCAAGUCGAGGGGUAACAUAGGAAAGCUUGCUUUUCUGAUGACGACCGGCGCACGGGUGCGUAACGCGUAUACAACCUACCUUUUAGCGGGGAAUAGCCCAGGGAAACUUGGAUUAAUGCCCCAUAGUAUAUAGACUUCUCCUGAAGUUUAUAUUAAACAUUUAUGGCUAUUAGAUGGGUAUGCGUCCUAUUAGUUAGUUGGUAAGGUAACGGCUUACCAAGGCAGCGAUAGGUAGGGGUCCUGAGAGGGAGAUCCCCACACUGGUACUGAGACACGGACCAGACUCCUACGGGAGGCAGCAGUGAGGAAUAUUGGACAAUGGGCGAGAGCCUGAUCCAGCCAUGCCGCGUGCAGGAAGACUGCCCUAUGGGUUGUAAACUGCUUUUACAGAGGAAGAACCACCCCCACGUGUGGGGGUUUGACGGUACUCUGCGAAUAAGGAUCGGCUAACCCCGUG
rnacentral:rRNA from 1 species